rnacentral:lncRNA from 1 species
AGACAGAGAAAAAGAGAAAACAACAACAAAAAUGAAGCAAGAGUAAACUGCCAACUCCAACUGCCUUUCUGGAAGGCCUAAUUUGAAGAUGUCUGAAAUUCUGUAUCACUGGCUCCCAGACAUAUCAUGUUUAUUUGUACAUCACACCUUUGCCCACCUCUGCUCAGUGGACCUCCAGCCUAAAAUGCCUCCCUUGUUCCUCUGUCUCACUUCAGCUGUUAUUGAAGUCUCCUGGUACAAUGUGACAUUUCCAGCGUCUUGUUUUCCAAUCAGAUCAGUGGCUCUCAGUGGACCAACUGAUAAGGAACAUUUGGAAAAUGUUACGAUGAUUGAGGGCUGUACUGGUAUUUGGUGGGCAGGGAAUGACAAUGUCCUGUGAUGUAUCCAUCAUAAUGGAAAAUUAUCUGAUGUCUUGGGCAAAUAACAGCAGUCCUGCCAGACAAAAUGAAGGUGAAAAAUUCAUUUAUAAUUGCCUAAGUUCAGAGCUUCUCUCUGUUUUACAUACAAGUACAAGAAAUGUUUGGCACAGUUUUAAUGUAUACUGAAUUAUAGGAAUCCAAUUACAAUAUAUUUUGCUUAACAUA